rnacentral:rRNA from 1 species
AUGAACGCUGACAGAAUGCUUAACACAUGCAAGUCAACUUGAACUUCGGUUUGGGUGGCGGACGGGUGCGUAACGCGUAAAGAACUUGCCUCACAGCUAGGGACAACAUUUGGAAACGAAUGCUAAUACCUGAUAUUAUGAUUUUAGGGCAUCCUAGAAUUAUGAAAGCUAUAUGCGCUGUGAGAGAGCUUUGCGUCCCAUUAGCUAGUUGGAGAGGUAACGGCUCACCAAGGCGAUGAUGGGUAGCCGGCCUGAGAGGGUGAACGGCCACAAGGGGACUGAGACACGGCCCUUACUCCUACGGGAGGCAGCAGUGGGGAAUAUUGGACAAUGGACCAAGAGUCUGAUCCAGCAAUUCUGUGUGCACGAUGAAGUUUUUCGGAAUGUAAAGUGCUUUCAGUUGGGAAGAAAAAAAUGACGGUACCAACAGAAGAAGUGACGGCUAAAUACGUG